GGCCUGGUAGCAUAGUGGCUAAUGCGCUGGACUGUCUCUCCAGUUAUCGUGGGUUCGAGUCCCAUCCAGGUCGCCA
rnacentral:tRNA from 1 species